GACGAACGCUGGCGGCGUGCCUAACACAUGCAAGUCGAACGGGAUCCAUGAGAGCUUGCUCUCGGAAGAUCUAGUGGCGAACGGGUGAGUAACACGUGAGAAACCUGCCCUGGAGUGGGGAAUAACUCGGGGAAACCCGAGCUAAUACCGCAUACCCUUGGAUGAUCGCAUGGUCGACCAAGGAAAGAUUUAUCGCUCUAGGAGGGUCUCGCGGCCUAUCAGCUAGUUGGUGGGGUAAUGGCCUACCAAGGCAACGACGGGUAGCUGGUUUGAGAGAACGAUCAGCCACACUGGGACUGAGACACGGCCCAGACUCCUACGGGAGGCAGCAGUGGGGAAUCUUGCGCAAUGGGCGAAAGCCUGACGCAGCAACGCCGCGUGCGGGAUGACGGCCUUCGUGGUUGUAAACCGC
rnacentral:rRNA from 1 species